rnacentral:ncRNA from 1 species
CAUAAACCGUCGAGUAAGAAUAGUAAGUAUUAUCAUUAUUUACAGAGAGUUGCAGAGGGUGGAAUUGCAAUAAUAAAUGUAAUACUGAAUGGACUUACGAGGGCAGGAAGAAAAUCAGCAAUGCUGACGAGUAAUACCUGACGGUAUCUCCAACCGUUAUCAAGGGAGCAUGUAUAUAUGUACAUGGAAUAAGUGGGUGCAGCCGCACCAAACCGGGUGGUACCGCAGAAGUCUAAGCUUUUGUCCCAGUG